GACAAGGCGGGUGCUAUACAUGCAGUCGACGCUUUGUGGUUCAACUGAUUUGAAGAGCUUGCUCAGAUAUGACGAUGGACAUUGCAAAGAGUGGCGAACGGGUGAGUAACACGUGGGAAACCUACCUCUUAGCAGGGGAUAACAUUUGGAAACAGAUGCUAAUACCGUAUAACAAUAGCAACCGCAUGGUUGCUACUUAAAAGAUGGUUCUGCUAUCACUAAGAGAUGGUCCCGCGGUGCAUUAGUUAGUUGGUGAGGUAAUGGCUCACCAAGACGAUGAUGCAUAGCCGAGUUGAGAGACUGAUCGGCCACAAUGGGACUGAGACACGGCCCAUACUCCUACGGGAGGCAGCAGUAGGGAAUCUUCCACAAUGGGCGAAAGCCUGAUGGAGCAACGCCGCGUGUGUGAUGAAGGGUUUCGGCUCGUAAAACACUGUUGUAAGAGAAGAAUGACAUUGAGAGUAACUGUUCAAUGUGUGACGGUAUCUUACCAGAAAGGAACGGCUAAAUACGUGCCAGCAGCCGCGGUAAUACGUAUGUUCCAAGCGUUAUCCGGAUUUAUUGGGCGUAAAGCGAGCGCAGACGGUUAUUUAAGUCUGAAGUGAAAGCCCUCAGCUCAACUGAGGAAUUGCUUUGGAAACUGGAUGACUUGAGUGCAGUAGAGGAAAGUGGAACUCCAUGUGUAGCGGUGAAAUGCGUAGAUAUAUGGAAGAACACCAGUGGCGAAGGCGGCUUUCUGGACUGUAACUGACGUUGAGGCUCGAAAGUGUGGGUAGCAAACAGGAUUAGAUACCCUGGUAGUCCACACCGUAAACGAUGAGUGCUAGGUGUUUGAGGGUUUCCGCCCUUAAGUGCCGCAGCUAACGCAUUAAGCACUCCGCCUGGGGAGUACGACCGCAAGGUUGAAACUCAAAGGAAUUGACGGGGACCCGCACAAGCGGUGGAGCAUGUGGUUUUAAUUCGAAGCAACGCGAAGAACCCUUACCAGGUCUUGACAUCCCUUGACAACUCCAGAGAUGGAGCGUUCCCUUCGGGGACAAGGUGACAGGUGGGUGCAUGGUUGUCGUCAGCUCGUGUCGUGAGAUGUGGUUAAGUCCCGCACGAGCGCAACCCUUAUUACUAGCUUGCAGCAAUUCAGUGGCACUCUAGUGGAACUGCCGUGACAAACCGAAGGAAGUGUGGGGAAUGUAAC
rnacentral:rRNA from 1 species